GGACCUCGCGCUAUAGGGGCGGCCGAUGGCAGAUUAGCUAGUUGGUGGGGUAAAGGCCUACCAAGGCGACGAUCUGUAGCUGGUCUGAGAGGACGACCAGCCACACUGGGACUGAGACACGGCCCAGACUCCUACGGGAGGCAGCAGUGGGGAAUUUUGGACAAUGGGGGAAACCCUGAUCCAGCAAUGCCGCGUGUGUGAAGAAGGCCUUCGGGUUGUAAAGCACUUUUGUCCGGAAAGAAAACUUCUGCCCUAAUACGGUGGGAGGAUGACGGUACCGGAAGAAUAAGCACCGGCUAACUACGUGCCAGCAGCCGCGGUAAUACGUAGGGUGCGAGCGUUAAUCGGAAUUACUGGGCGUAAAGCGUGCGCAGGCGGUUCGUUAAGACAGAUGUGAAAUCCCCGGGCUUAACCUGGGAACUGCAUUUGUGACUGGCGAGCUAGAGUAUGGCAGAGGGGGGUAGAAUUCCACGUGUAGCAGUGAAAUGCGUAGAGAUGUGGAGGAAUACCGA
rnacentral:rRNA from 1 species